rnacentral:sRNA from 1 species
UAACUGGUAAUGGGCAUCCUCCUUCAGUUUAUUAACUCCAGCUGUGCUGUUUGACUGUUUUUUGUGAAAGGUGCCACAUGAGGUGAAUAUUGAACAGCAGAUAAAGGACUCGAUGUUACAAGCAACUGGAUCACACAAAAAUCUGUCCUCCCAGAGAGGCAGCUGGAGGAAAUCGCACUCCUGUGAAACACAGUCCCAUGCUCAUCAAGAUUAAAUAAAUUAAGUACUGCAGGUGGAUCAUGGAGCAAGAUUAUUGCGUUGAAAGCUGUUCAAUUUCCAUGACUGUGUAUGCUUUCUGGUGUUUCUAUUGUUGCUGAAGUCCAGCUUCAAUCCACAUAGUCUGAGAAGAUACAAGGUAUUAUUUCAAUUUUACUUAUAUCUGUUGUGACUUGCUUUAUGAUCAAUAAUAUGGGAAAUUUUGGAGAAGAAUCCCAGAGGUGGGGAGGAGGUAUAUUAUUCAUGUUUGGGAGAAAUAUUCUACAGAUGUUCAUUAGUCCCAUUUAAUUAACAAUGUCUGUUGGUUUUGGUAUUAUAGUAUUUUUGUAUUUGGUAUUAUAGUCUGUUUAGUAUUUUUCUGGGUGACAACUUGUUGUCAGUUGGUGAAAGUCGGGUUUUGAAUUCUCCAGCUAUUAACUUGUGGGGCUCUACAUAUGACUUAAGCUUCAGCAAUAUUUCUUUUACAAAUGUGGGUGCACUUGUGUUUAAGGCAGAGAUGUCUAGAAUUGAGAUAAUAUCUUGGCAGAUUUUUUUCGUUUGAUGAGUAUGGAGUAUAUUUCCUUGUCUCUGUUGAUUAAUUUUGGUUGAAAAUCUAUUUUGUUAGAUAUUAGAAUGGCUACCUGAGCUUGCUUUUUGGGUCUGUUGCUCAGAAAAUUUUUUCUAGCCUUUAAUUCUGAGGCAAUGUCUGUCUUUAUUUUUGAGAGUAUUUCUGAAUUGUGUUUCUUAUAUGGAGCAAAAUGAUAGAUCCUGUUUUUCCAUCCAUUAGGCCACCCUACGUCAUUUUAUCAGGGAAUUCUGUCCAUGAUACUGAGAAAUAUUAAUUACCAGUGGUUGUUAUUUCAUCUUAUUUUGA